CCUCUGUCCAUUUCUCCAUGUGAGGAUACAAUGCCCAUCCUCACAUGGACAUUGCCUCAGAGGCAUGAGAACAGAGGUGGACCUAGCUUAGAUGGAUGAAAAACAGAGAAUAUCUGCACCUGGUCACACCUGGGCACCGCAGUGGGUGUAUUCCUAUGGUUCUCACUCCAUCUUUAAAAGGGCCUCAGCUGGAUACAGCCCAACUGAGGAGAAAUUCAAAAGGAGUCAACACCACGGCCACUGACAAUCACAAAUAUCCCAAAGGAAGAAAUGUAGCAGUAUUUCCGGGGCAUCCUAUCCUAAGACCAAGACUGAAAGAAUUAGAGAUAAAAAAUAGAAGAAUUUACAAGUUUGACACUAAACAACCACAGAUGGAAGAUUUGAAGUAAGAUCACACAUUUUAUACUGAAGUCUAAUGUAGCGAUCAACAAAUGCAGACUGACACUUAGGACAAAAUCCAUCCAACUUCCCCUGUGGCUUUGGGGAGAAUGUAACAUAUUCAUUAAAGAAUGUCCU
rnacentral:lncRNA from 1 species